rnacentral:rRNA from 1 species
CCUACGGGAGGCAGCAGUGAGGAAUAUUGGACAAUGGGCGCAAGCCUGAUCCAGCCAUGCCGCGUGCAGGAAGACGGUCCUAUGGAUUGUAAACUGCUUUUGUACAGGAAGAAACACUCCCUCGUGAGGGAGCUUGACGGUACUGUAAGAAUAAGGAUCGGCUAACUCCGUGCCAGCAGCCGCGGUAAUACGGAGGAUCCAAGCGUUAUCCGGAAUCAUUGGGUUUAAAGGGUCCGUAGGCGGUUUAAUAAGUCAGUGGUGAAAUCUGGUCGCUCAACGAUCAAACGGCCAUUGAUACUGUUAGACUUGAAUUAUUAGGAAGUAACUAGAAUAUGUAGUGUAGCGGUGAAAUGCUUAGAUAUUACAUGGAAUACCAAUUGCGAAGGCAGGUUACUACUAAUGGAUUGACGCUGAUGGACGAAAGCGUGGGGAGCGAACAGGAUUAGAUACCCUGGUAGUCCACGCCGUAAACGAUGGAUACUAGCUGUUGGGCGCAAGUUCAGUGGCUAAGCGAAAGUGAUAAGUAUCCCACCUGGGGAGUACGUUCGCAAGAAUGAAACUCAAAUGAAAUUGACGG